AUCAUUUUGGUUGUCUCGGUAACGUAAGCUGGAGGAUGUUGUCAUUUCACUUGCUGUCUUUUUCUAUUGCAGGUGCAUACAGUUACUGUGGUAAUCAGAGGAUAUAAAAACUGAGUAUUAUGGAAGCAACAUCAAAUUCCUUUCCUCUGCUGUAUCUGUUCCCUGUUCUGUUUUGUAGUGACUUACGCAUUACCAGGAACAGAGAUCUGGCUCAAGCUAUCCUGGAAGCAGAGGAAGACAGAAGAAGCUACUAUAGACCUGAACUGAAUCUUGUGAGAACCACCUUCUUGUUCCCACUGCCCACCAGGCACCACAGGAGAAGGAGUAGCAAAAUCUGAGUGUUAGCCAGUGUCCCUUAGCUGUCUUUUCAAACUGUCUGGAGACACUGUUCUGAGUACCUGAGCUCCUUAAGAAAUUUAAGUAGAAGAAAGUUAUUUACUUUGUGUAAAACAGUAUGAUAUAGAUUUAGUUGUAUUAAUAAUACAUUCUGCCAGACUGCCCAUCUGCUGCCAUCUGUCACACAGCAACAACGUGUAAUAGGAUAUUGAUGGGAAGGUUCAACCUCUGCUGCCAUGCCACCAGCAUCCACUUCUGACAUGGUGAGGCAGCAUCAUCAUAUAGGAGGCAUUACUUUUGGAGUAUCCCUCAUAGUAGUAGACAAGCACUAGGCAUCUUUAGAUGCAGAUUUAUUUACAGGUACAGGUGGUGACAUAUUUUUUUGUGUGUAGUUAAAUCCUCAUAGCGUACAAAGUAGCUGUUGUAACUGCUUAGGGUCAAAUGACUGAUUGGUACAUCACUAAUAUUUACAGCUGAACUCCAACUGAAAAGGUCUUUUUGCUGUUAUGAAUCAAGCAAAGCACCUGCCUGUCUUAUGGUCCCUCUGGUUUGAGGGAUAUGAUUUUAAGGGAUAUGAUUUAGCUGGGAAGUAUUGGUAAUGGUUGGACCGGAUGAUCUUCUAGGUCUUUUCCAACCUUGAUAAUUCUGUGAUUCUGUGAUUCUGUGAGAAGCAGUCCCCAGUGCUCACUGCCCUGUGGCCAACAGUGUUAUUUAAAGAAAACCUCAUAGACAACAUCAGUUCCUGCUCUCCUUCUCACUUCCAGUUGUAAGUUUUAAUUUUGUGUGGCUCCCAGCAUUAUUGUUGCCUCUUGCAGGGAGCAUAUUCCUAGGGACACGAACAUGAGGAAGGAACGUGCUUUUUGUUUUCUCAAAUAGUUUUCUCCCAACCCACAAGUUGUACUUUUAGUUCUCUCCCCCAUUCCACUGUGAACUGGGGGGAAUGAGUGAACAGAGGUGCAGUGCUGAGCCACCUGCUGGGUUAAACCACAACGUUUUAUCACU
rnacentral:lncRNA from 1 species